UCUGGUGCGCGCGUCCCCAACCCCUGAUGGCUCUCACGCCGCACCCGCCACUCCAGCUCCGCACGCCCCCUCCCCCCCCCACGGUCGCCGUGGCCCACUAGCGUCGUGUGCUCCUCUCGCCGCGCCGCACUCGUUCCUGCCGUUGCUGCGCCGGUGCCGACGUGGGUAAGGUGUGGGCGAGGCGGGCGUACCGGUACGACGAGAUCGAGCCGAGGUGGCAGGCGCGCUGGGAGGAGCACCGCACGUUCCGCACCUCGGACGCCUCCAGGCCCAAGGGCUACAUCCUCGGCAUGUUCCCUUACCCAAGUUUUUAUGCUUCAGAUCGCUUCCUCCAUGACACCCCGAUCCGGGCGGCGGCAGCAGCGAUGGCAUCGACAAUCGAGUGUGCCUAACUCUGCAUCUAUAACUGGCCUGUCUUCUUUGGACGGGUGCAGGUGCUCUACUACGCGCUACUCCGAACGGGUCACCUGGACAGAUGUUUUGCUUGUUUUUGAGCUACUACCACUUUUUAAGCUACUGCCACUUGUUUUUGUCGGUAAUCUGAGCACUUGUUAGUUUAGUCAGGUAGGAGAUUAGAGUGAAAUGAUCCUGUAGGAGGUCCUGGACGAUGAUGUGCAAACAAUUAUUUUCUAUAGCAUUAGUAUGUCAAAUUUGUCUAAGUUAGUACAUGAGGAUUCUGCUAGCUGACAUACUAAUGUUGGUCAACGAGUGAUGCUUCAUAGCGGACAACUACUGGUUUUAAUAUGCAAACAACAACAGUGCUAGAGAUGCUAUGUAAUAAUUAAUGUGUACUUGUUGAAAGUUCUUGCUUAUAUUAGUGUCUCUUAUUUAUUUUCUAAUUAAUGUCUCUCAUUUUUGUUCUAGUUAAUGUGUAACUGAGAAUGAACAUACUUCUCUCUUUUUAGACUGCUAGAUUGCACAAGUUGAACGAUCUGCUCUAGUUUAAACAAGUUGGGAUACAUCAAUAUAAUAGGACUUUGUUUGCACUUCACCUAGCUUGUAACCAAUUUCCUUAUUGCUAAUUUACCUCAAGUUUAUCUAACAUGGUUGAAAUGAGCGCUGUAAAGUUUCAUGUCUAAGCUCAAUUUUUAUCCUAAGUCCUGAAGUAAUUAUUUUGGUUACAUCAUAGUUUGCUGAGAAUAUUAACUUGAACAUUGUAUGUAUGCCCUGAUGCAUGUACACACACGGCAUCAAAUAUUGAGCUGCAGCGAAACAACCUGGAGCUAGAGAACAUCAAGGAUAAGAUCAAGGAAGUUCUUGCCUUGUUGGCAACAUUGUGAGAUCAUGACCAAGCAUGACAAGAAGGGAGGCUCAUCAACCACCUACCAGCACACCUAUCAUGACCGAUGAUGAGACGCUGAAGGUUACGAGAGAUGAUGCUGGAGAGAUGCCCUUCCUGUAGGUCUACACAUAAGCGGAAGUUCAUGGGUAUGCAAGAUUUGAUGGUUAAAAUGGUUGAUGUGAUGUGAAUGAGUGUAUGGAAACUGGUUGUUGUGAUGUGAAUGAGUGUUGUAGUUUCACGUGUUCUGUUCUGUAUAGCAUAUUGUAAUAAACUUAUUUUAGCUGUUAUUUGAAGAUUUUCAUA